AUUGAACGCUGGCGGCAGGCCUAACACAUGCAAGUCGAACGAGUGGCGGACGGGUGAGUACUGUCUGGGAAACUGCCCGAUGGAGGGGGAUAACUACUGGACACGGUAGCUAAUACCGCAUACCAUCUGAUGUGCCCAGAUGGGAUUAGCUAGUAGGGGGGGUAACGGCUCACCUAGGCGAAGAUCCCUAGCUGGUCUGAGAGGAUGACCAGAAACACUGGAACUGAGACACGGUCCAGACUCCUACGUGAGGCAGCAGUGGGGAAUAUUGCACAAUGGGCGCAAGCCUGAUGCAGCCAUGCCGCGUGUAUGAAGAAGGCCUUCGGGUUGUAAAGUACGUUCAGCGAGGAGGCGUUACUCGCAGAAGAAGCACCGGCUAACUCCGUGCCAGCCGCCGCGGUAAUUC
rnacentral:rRNA from 1 species